CUGGGAUUAGCCCGGGUGAAUGUAGUCGACCAAUCAAAUCACAGAAUGGGGUGGUCGGCACUUUUAGGCGGGUUUGUCGUUAGUGCCAGUGUAACUUGGAGUUUUUAGUAAAAUAUGUUAUAACUAAACUGCUUUAAUUAAAGUUCAACAUGACGACAGACCAACAUCCAAUCUAUAGCGGCACAGAAAUAGAAGGAGGCGUUUGGACCCUUAAUGAGAAGCUAGCUGCUAGCUAACCGUCAUGGUUAGCAUGAUGACAGACAGAACGCCGGCCUUCUCCCACAGGGAAUUGCCUCCAUCUGCUCCAUCAGACUUGACUGCAGCCGUCCUCCAGCGGGAGGUGCUCUUUCCUGCGUUUUACUUUCUGCCUUUCGCCCAAAUUCGGCUGGUGGUGCAGGAGUCUUUGGAAACCACAAGUUCCUGUAAGAGCCGACGUCUUGACGUUUGACAUCAAUUGCGAGAAGGUGUGACCCCACAGAACGCUGAUGAGACAUCUUACUGUGGCCAGAGAACAUCUAAAGACCAGGAAUACAGUUACAGCAGGGUAAAAAUACUUUUCUUAAAUCUUUUUAGGAUCUGACAUCACUGCAGCCUUCACUAUUAGCAAUUAUGAUUUUUAACUGUAGGCUCUGUUGAUCUACUCCCCACUUUUAAAUGACACGAGGAAGCAUCGCAUUAUGUCCCCACCAGAAAAAUGACAGCACUUGUGAUUUGAGGACAGAGAGGAAGGCGGUGUUUUUCCCUUCUCUGUUUACAUUUAGGAACAAAUGUUGACAUGAAGGUUAAAGAGGGAGACUCUGCUGGAUCAGUGGCCUGCAGGACAUGGGUUUGACACUGAAGGUCACAGUUUGUUUAUUGGGUUCUUUUGAAAGCUACAGUAUUUUGGAAUAUUUCAUGGCAAUAUUACAAAUGAUGUCAGACUCUCCAUUAAUGGCAUCAGUAAAGAAUACUUUUCC
rnacentral:lncRNA from 1 species